UUAUGCGGAAUACCUGUGUAGCUCCCCUCAGUAAUUUCACGAGCACAAGGAUUCUCUGAUGACAGGCGAUUUAUUGACUGGUUCACCAUGAGGAUAACCAUCCAAUUCAAGAUGCCGUGAGAACUAAAUAAAAAAAAAUAAAAGUUACAAUAAAGAAUAUAAAAAGGACAUAAAUAAAUCAAAUAAAUAAAUGUUGUCUUUGUUAACUUUCCAAACAGAGUUAAAUUCACUUUAACAGCAAACUAUAGUCUUUGUAUAUCACUCUUUUCCACACAGCAACACAAUCCACAUUAAUCACAUACAAUAUAAAUGACAAACUUACUUCAUUGGCUGCUUAUUACCAAAGGAGAACUUAAUCUUACAUCUGGUAAUAUUUUCUGUAACUUCAGAUGAGUAAAUGAACUUAAAUGCUCUUUAGAAACGUGGAAUACAGCUUCAACUUGCCAUGCGGUGUAGACAACAACUUCCUGAGUUACACUGUGCUUUUCAUAAUAAAAGUCUCCACUAAAACAGUUCUUUACAAAGCAGUUUCAAAUUAAAGGUCUUUAACAAAAUAAUAAAAUAAACAUGAAAUAUUAACUGACUUCUCUGUCAGUUACAACCUGCAAUCCCGCGCAGACAUUCAGACUCUAAUUGACGGGAGGCGGCUGCGUGUCAAACUCACUGUCGGAGAGGAAAGAGAAACGCAGAUUGUAUUGGUGUAAAUUCGGUAGAUACUGUGGAAAAUGAGUAAUGGAACCAUGUCAGAUAUUUCAGUAUCGGUAUCAAAAUAUAGAUAUUUAUGAUAACACUACCACGUUUGUUUCAGGGCUUGAAAACAAAAUAAUAAUAAAAAAAAUUCAGUUGGUUCACUCCGAGUAGAAUCGAUAUUUUAACGUUUCUGUUCCUGCGUUCCUCUGAUAUUAUUACCGUUUUGAAACCGUUUCGGGUGAAAGAAAUACCGGUUAAUAACUUUUUUUAUUAUUAUUAUUAUUCUUUGCCUAUAAUUUGCCUAAUAAUAAUAAUAAUAAUAAUAAUAAUAAUAAUAAAGUACAGCGUUUUUUUUACUCAAAUAGAAAAGGGAAAAAAAGAGAUCUGGUAACGUUAGCCAAUAAUCCGCUGCACUUAGUCACAGCCAAUACCAUCAUCUUUUCUAGAUUUUGGCCAAAUGUAUAGGCUACUAAAAGAAAAAAAAAAAAAGAAAAAUUCUAUCAACACUUUAAAGACAUCAAAGUAUUUUUAAUGAUAAUUAAAAAUGUUUGCCGCAUUGUUUUUUUUUUUUUUUUAAACACUUGUAUAAGAUUGGGUUUUGAGAGUGG
rnacentral:lncRNA from 12 species